UCUCCGUUGGUGAACCAGCGGAGGGAUCAUUACCGAGUUGCAAAACUCCUAAACCCUUGUGAACAUACCCGUUACAGUUGCUUCGGUUGGCAGCCCCAGGGCGGGGCCGCCGCCCCUUCUCACGAAGCGCUCGCCGGAGGCAUAUAACUCAUUGUAGUAUGGUCUCUCUGAGUAAAUUUAUAAUAAGGCAAAACUUUUAACAACGGAUCUCUUGGUUCUG
rnacentral:misc_RNA from 1 species